rnacentral:rRNA from 1 species
CGGUGAAAUGCGUAGAGAUCUGAAGGAAUACCGGUGGCCGAAGGCGGCCCCCUGGACGAGAUACUGACACUCAGAUGCGAAAGCGUGGGAGCAAACAGGAUUAGAUACCCUGGUAGUCCACGCCGUAAACGAUGUCUACUUGGAGGUUGUGGCCUUGAGCCGUGGCUUUCGGAGCUAACGCGUUAAGUAGACCGCCUGGGGAGUACGGUCGCAAGAUUAAAACUCAAAUGAAUUGACGGGGGCCCGCACAAGCGGUGGAGCAUGUGGUUUAAUUCGAUGCAACGCGAAGAACCUUACCUACUCUUGACAUCCAGAGAACUUUCCAGAGAUGGAUUGGUGCCUUCGGGAACUCUGAGACAGGUGCUGCAUGGCUGUCGUCAGCUCGUGUUGUGAAAUGUUGGGUUAAGUCCCGCAACGAGCGCAACCCUUAUCCUUGUUUGCCAGCGAGUAAUGUCGGGAACUCCAGGGAGACUGCCGGUGAUAAACCGGAGGAAGGUGGGGACGACGUCAAGUCAUCAUGGCCCUUACGAGUAGGGCUACACACGUGCUACAAUGGCGCAUACAGAGGGCAGCCAACUUGCGAAAGUGAGCGAAUCCCAAAAAGUGCGUCGUAGUCCGGAUUGGAGUCUGCAACUCGACUCCAUGAAGUCGGAAUCGCUAGUAAUCGUGGAUCAGAAUGCCACGGUGAAUACGUUCCCGGGCCUUGUACACACCGCCCGUCACACCAUGGGAGUGGGCUGCAAAAGAAGUAGGUAGUUUAACCUUCGGGGGGACGCUUACCACUUUGUGGUUCAUGACUGGGGUGAAGUCGUAACAAGGUAGCGCUAGGGGAACCUGGCGCUG